rnacentral:rRNA from 1 species
UGGGGAAUUUUGGACAAUGGGCGAAAGCCUGAUCCAGCAAUGCCGCGUGUGUGAAGAAGGCCUUCGGGUUGUAAAGCACUUUUGUCCGGAAAGAAAUCCUCUGGGUUAAUACCUCGGGGGGAUGACGGUACCGGAAGAAUAAGCACCGGCUAACUACGUGCCAGCAGCCGCGGUAAUACGUAGGGUGCAAGCGUUAAUCGGAAUUACUGGGCGUAAAGCGUGCGCAGGCGGUUUUGUAAGACGGAUGUGAAAUCCCCGGGCUUAACCUGGGAACUGCAUUCGUGACUGCAAGGCUAGAGUAUGGCAGAGGGGGGUAGAAUUCCACGUGUAGCAGUGAAAUGCGUAGAGAUGUGGAGGAAUACCGAUGGCGAAGGCAGCCCCCUGGGCCAAUACUGACGCUCAUGCACGAAAGCGUGGGGAGCAAACAGGAUUAGAUACCCUGGUAGUCCACGCCCUAAACGAUGUCAACUAGUUGUUGGGGAUUCAUUUCCUUAGUAACGUAGCUAACGCGUGAAGUUGACCGCCUGGGGAGUACGGUCGCAAGAUUAAAACUCAAGGAAUUGACGGGGUCAUAGCUG